rnacentral:rRNA from 1 species
GCAGUCGAACGAAGUAGCAAUACUUAGUGGCAGACGGGUGAGUAACAUGUGGGCAUCUGCCCUUUGGCCUGGAAUAACACGAGGAAACUUGUGCUAAUACCGGAUAAGUCUUUACGGAGAAAGCUUUAUGCACCAUUGGAUGAGCCCGCACUUGAUUAGUUUGUUGGUAGGGUAAUGGCCUACCAAGACUGUGAUCAAUAGCUGAUUUGAGAGGAUGAUCAGCCACAUUGGGACUGAGACACGGCCCAAACUCCUACGGGAGGCAGCAGUGGGGAAUCUUGCACAAUGGAGGAAACUCUGAUGCAGCGAUGCCGCGUGAGCGAAGAAGGCCCUUGGGUUGUAAAGCUCUUUCGUCGGGGAAGAAAAUGACUGUACCCGAAUAAGAAGGUCCGGCUAACUUCGUGCCAGCAGCCGCGGUAAUACGAAGGGACCUAGCGUAGUUCGGAAUUACUGGGCUUAAAGAGUUCGUAGGUGGUUGAAAAAGUUGGUGGUGAAAUCCCAGAGCUUAACUCUGGAACUGCCAUCAAAACUUUUCAGCUAGAGUUUGAUAGAGGAAAGCAGAAUUUCUAGUGUAGAGGUGAAAUUCGUAGAUAUUAGAAAGAAUACCAAUUGCGAAGGCAGCUUUCUGGAUCAUUACUGACACUGAGGAACGAAAGCAUGGGUAGCGAAGAGGAUUAGAUACCCUCGUAGUCCAUGCCGUAAACGAUGUGUGUUAGACGUUGGAAAUUUAUUUUCAGUGUCGCAGCGAAAGCGAUAAACACACCGCCUGGGGAGUACGACCGCAAGGUUAAAACUCAAAUGAAUUGACGGGGACCCGCACAAGUAGUGGAGCAUGU